rnacentral:rRNA from 1 species
CUAGCGACUUCAGAGUUUGAUCCUGGCUCAGAUUGAACGCUGGCGGCAGGCUUAACACAUGCAAGUCGAGCGGGUGAUGUAGCUUGCUACAUUACCUAGCGGCGGACGGGUGAGUAAUGCUUAGGAAUCUGCCUAUUAGUGGGGGACAACAUUCCGAAAGGAAUGCUAAUACCGCAUACGCCCUACGGGGGAAAGCAGGGGAUCUUCGGACCUUGCGCUAAUAGAUGAGCCUAAGUCAGAUUAGCUAGUUGGUGGGGUAAAGGCCUACCAAGGCGACGAUCUGUAGCGGGUCUGAGAGGAUGAUCCGCCACACUGGGACUGAGACACGGCCCAG